UCCAGUUUCAACCAUUAUAGAGGUUUGAGUCUCUGUGUUAAGCACUUAGUCUACUCUAAUAAAUUCACUUGAACAGUGGCUUGAGCCUUGAAGUUGUAAGUCCUUUGCCCUAAUGCAUUCAUUCAAUUUUUGUUUUUGGCAGUUGGUGAUCAGCCAGUUGUGGUUCAACAUGCAGAAGUGAGCAAGUGGUGCAAAGCAAUGGAACUGAUAGGUGAUGAGGAUGUGAGUGCGUUUGAAGGCUUCCACACCCUCUACUCCAGGAGAGGGAAACAUGAAGGGGACAGAGGGAAAGAGCUCUGCUGAAGAUGUUCUCUUUCCUUUAAGUGUAUUAUUGGAGAGGUGGGACCAGUGUGGCCAG
rnacentral:lncRNA from 1 species